rnacentral:rRNA from 1 species
UACGUAGGGUGCAAGCGUUGUCCGGAAUUAUUGGGCGUAAAGAGCUCGUAGGCGGUCUGUCGCGUCUGCUGUGAAAACUCAGGGCUUAACCCUGAGCUUGCAGUGGGUACGGGCAGACUUGAGGCAUUCAGGGGAGAACGGAAUUCCUGGUGUAGCGGUGGAAUGCGCAGAUAUCAGGAGGAACACCAAUAGCGAAGGCAGCUCGCUGGAACGGUACUGACGCUGAGGCGCGAAAGCGUGGGGAGCAAACAGG